UAAAGAUGACAAGCAGAGAAGAAGAAAACAGAUGUUAACCAUAAGAGACAGGUUCAUACCUGCACAUUCAGUGCUUUACAUACACCUGAAUUGUUCCGAAGCUCGCCGUGCUUUGUCUUCUCCUUAACAGUCCCAGUCGGGAAACCUGAGGAAAAGGAUCAGCAGGAAAAUGGCCAUGACGGGAACAGAGCUGGAUGAUGCCCUCAAGAAGAAACUGAGAAAUCAUAUUCACCACAAACACGCCCUGAUUAUGAAAAUGGACAGAAUGCGUUUUCUUUUGGAUCAGGAACAUGAUGCAAGUGGCACCUUUUAUUGGAAAAAUUUUGGAUCUGGAAUGCCCCUUUCUCUGUUUUGAAAAUCAACAUUUGUCUUUCAGAACAUCUCGCUGGAUGAUUUAAGAAACAAGAUUCCAGAGAAUCAGCCCAGAUAUCCUAAAGUAGUAACAAAGGCCAUGACUAGUGUUCAUUUAGCACGAUCAUUCACACUGUUCAACCUCUUCCAAAUGGUAACAGAAUUAAUGGUUCCAUCAAUGACAGCAAGUCUUCCAGGUCCUGGAGGAGCAUUGCACCCCGGGAUAAUCACACUACCACCACCAGCCACU